rnacentral:rRNA from 1 species
GCCCAGCUUGCUGGGCGGAUUAGUGGCGAACGGGUGAGUAAUACGUGAGUAACCUGCCCUUGACUCUGGGAUAAGCCUGGGAAACUGGGUCUAAUACUGGAUACUACCUCUUGCCGCAUGGUGGGUGGUGGAAAGGGUUUUACUGGUUUUGGAUGGGCUCACGGCCUAUCAGCUUGUUGGUGGGGUAAUGGCUCACCAAGGCGACGACGGGUAGCCGGCCUGAGAGGGUGACCGGCCACACUGGGACUGAGACACGGCCCAGACUCCUACGGGAGGCAGCAGUGGGGAAUAUUGCACAAUGGGCGGAAGCCUGAUGCAGCGACGCCGCGUGAGGGAUGACGGCCUUCGGGUUGUAAACCUCUUUCAGUAGGGAAGAAGCGAGAGUGACGGUACCUGCAGAAGAAGCGCCGGCUAACUACGUGCCAGCAGCCGCGGUAAUACGUAGGGCGCAAGCGUUGUCCGGAAUUAUUGGGCGUAAAGAGCUCGUAGGCGGUUUGUCGCGUCUGCUGUGAAAGCCCGGGGCUCAACCCCGGGUCUGCAGUGGGUACGGGCAGACUAGAGUGCAGUAGGGGAGACUGGAAUUCCUGGUGUAGCGGUGAAAUGCGCAGAUAUCAGGAGGAACACCGAUGGCGAAGGCAGGUCUCUGGGCUGUUACUGACGCUGAGGAGCGAAAGCAUGGGGAGCGAACAGGAUUAGAUACCCUGGUAGUCCAUGCCGUAAACGUUGGGCACUAGGUGUGGGGGACAUUCCACGUUUUCCGCGCCGUAGCUAACGCAUUAAGUGCCCCGCCUGGGGAGUACGGCCGCAAGGCUAAAACUCAAAGGAAUUGACGGGGGCCCGCACAAGCGGCGGAGCAUGCGGAUUAAUUCGAUGCAACGCGAAGAACCUUACCAAGGCUUGACAUUCACCGGACCGCCCCAGAGAUGGGGUUUCCCUUCGGGGCUGGUGGACAGGUGGUGCAUGGUUGUCGUCAGCUCGUGUCGUGAGAUGUUGGGUUAAGUCCCGCAACGAGCGCAACCCUCGUUCUAUGUUGCCAGCACGUGAUGGUGGGGACUCAUAGGAGACUGCCGGGGUCAACUCGGAGGAAGGUGGGGAUGACGUCAAAUCAUCAUGCCCCUUAUGUCUUGGGCUUCACGCAUGCUACAAUGGCCGGUACAAAGGGUUGCGAUACUGUGAGGUGGAGCUAAUCCCAAAAAGCCGGUCUCAGUUCGGAUUGAGGUCUGCAACUCGACCUCAUGAAGUCGGAGUCGCUAGUAAUCGCAGAUCAGCAACGCUGCGGUGAAUACGUUCCCGGGCCUUGUACACACCGCCCGUCAAGUCACGAAAGUUGGUAACACCCGAAGCC